AAUAAUAAUUAUUAUUAUUCCUGAUUUAGUUAAUUCAUUGGCCUUUUUUGUGGCUCUGCCUAUCUGCAGAGGCUGCCAAGGUAGAGAAGACCAUGGUGCCAAUGGCAAGUGCUUUAUGGCUGAGUUGCACCUCUAAACCCGUUCAGUGGCUCCAUGGGUAGCUGAUGUGGGGUCAUCUGGAGGACUCCAGUUCCCAUCAUUCCCAGCCAGCAUGCUCAGUGGUGAGAGUGUUGGGUACCCCUGCCCUAGACGUUUAUUACAGUUGUGGUGUCAUCGGAACUUGUGGCAUUUGGGAGCUAUGGGGGCUUCCAGACUGCCACGGUUUUCAGGUGGGGGCCAACAACAUCAACACCCCACCCACCCACCUGCAACAACAACAACAAUAUAGGUUUGUUUUUUUAAUAAGGACAGAGAAAUGUUCAGGAAAGUGCCGGAUAACACAACAUUGUAUAACCUGCCAACAAAUCGGAACUAAAUAGAUGACCCC